rnacentral:pre_miRNA from 1 species
CUGUAGGGCAAUCUCAGUCUCUCAGUAAAGAAACAUUAGUAUAAAGAAAAUAAUCCUAGAUAGUUUUCCUUCCAAAUCAAACAUCUUGU